AGAAACUAUUAAUUUGUGAAGAAAUAACAAGACAAAAGGGUGUUGGCCAGGGACAGCAAAUUGUGAGGAAGUGACUAAGACACAUAGUAGAAAGAACCAGAAGAAAAUAAGGGUUAUUUUGGUAACUUUGUUUGUCCAGAUCCAUUUCAGCAUUGAUUCCCAGUGCCUGGUGAUAAGAAUGUUCCUCUCUCUCUCUGUGUCUUUCUCUCUUUUCUUCUCCACACCAUGAUUCUGUAAGGAAUGUUCUUCUCUUGCUGGUUCAGGGUAGACACCUUUCUCAUGGGAAAUUUUAUGGCCUGUUUAGGUUAAAAAAAUUGUGGAGGGGAGGGGUGGUCGGAAAGCCCUUCCUGCAUCUGCUCUUUCUCAAGUGCCUUCAGCUCAAAGUCAUCAAUCUGCCAAAGUGGCCUAUUUUGGGGUGGCAUGUCCUGAGCUUCUUUAGAACAGAUGACAGGCACAAUGCUGGUGCCAUCGUCAGCACCAGAACACUGCUGAGUUCUGUUUCAGACUUGUUGAGUGUGAGGUGAUCAUGGAAUUCUCAAAUAGAAAUUUAAAACAGGCAUCUACUUUCAGAAGAAAGGUCAGGAUUUCUUUUUCUUUUUUUUCUUUUUUUUCUUUUUUUUUUGUUUGAGAUGGAGUCUCGCUCUGUCACCCAGGUUGGAGUGCAGUGGUGCAAUCUCAGCUCACUGCAAGCUCUGCCUCCCAGGUUCACGCCAUUCUCCUGCCUCAGCCUCCCGAGUAGCGAAGACUACAGGUGCCCGCUACCAUGCCAGGCUAAUUUUUUUUUUUGUAUUUUUAGUAGAGACAGGGUUUCACUGUGUUAGCCAGGAUGGUCUCGAUCUCCUGACCUCAUGAUCCGCCCCCCUCGGCCUCCCAAAUUGCUGGGAUUACAGGCGUGAGCCGCCGCACCUGGCUGGUCAGGACUUCAAUUGUAAGUUUGAUACAAAGUGGAAAAGGCUGAAGAUUUCAUCCACAGUCUGAAAAGACCAUAUGAAAGAGGAAGGGGUGAGCUCCAAAGAACAAGCAUAUGUCAAAAGUAGUGGUGGGCAAAGACUCAAAUCUAAUAUCACUGAGGCUUCUGCCAGGCAGGGAGCAGUGGCCGUCUGCUCACCACAGUGGCCAGUGUGUCUUUGUGAAGAGCAAUGGAGGCCAGGAUUGAGAGUCUCGCUCUGUUGCCUAGGCUGGAGUGCAGUGGCCCGAUCUCAGCUCACUGCAACCUUCACCUCCUGGAUUCAAGCAGUUCUCCUGCCUCAGCCUCCUGAGUAGCUGGGAUUACAGUUGAACAGAGUCUGUCACCUUGGUUGAAGUUCAUUGGUGCAAUGAUAGCUCACUGCAACCUCAAAUUCCUGGACUCAAGUGAUCCUCCCAUCUCAGCCUCCUGCAUAGAUGCAUACAAGUGGACUCAUCCAUCAUCUCGUCUGAGCUAACCACCAUGACAUCAUUACCAAUCCCCAGAUACCAAGGCCAGAUCUUCUAGCUGCUGCCACCACAAUGCACCCUUUAUUAUGGCUAUACCAGUUAGGAAGAGCAAUUGGAUGCAAAUCACAGAGAUACAUCAAGCAGCUAAAGAAAAUCAAUGGUUACUAUCACACAUAAGAAAGUCUGAAGGUAUGCAGUCCUCUGUCUUUUGUAUCUGCCAUCCUUAACCUCAUGACCCAAGAAGGAGGCUGGAGCCCUAGGCAUCACAUCCAUAUCCCAGAAAAGAAAAUGGGAAAAAGGACCAAAGGGGUAGGCCAGGCAAGGUGGCUCAUGCCUGUAAUCCCAGCACUUUGGGAGGCCAAUGUGGGUGGAUCAUUUGAGGCCAGGAGUUUGAGACCAGCCUGGCCAACAAUGGCAAAACCCUGUCUCUACUAAAAAUACAAAAAUUAGCCAGGUGUGGUGGUGCACACCUGUAAUCCCUGCUACUCAGGAGGUCAAGGCAGGAGAAUCGCUUGAACCCAGGAGGCGGAGCUUGCAGUGAGCCAAGAUGGCACCAGUGCACUCCAGUCUGGGUGACACAAUGAGACUCUAUCUCAACAACAACGACAACAACAAUAAAAUGUUCAUUAUUGACUGAAAUUCUAAUUUAACUAAGUGUUCCUUAUUUGAUCUGGCAACGCUGACCACCCAACAUCUCCUGGGAUUUCAUUAGUCACCCCUACUGUGAAGGAAGCUGGAAAAUGUAGCCUUUCAGCCAGGCACUUUCCCACGCUGCAGUUAUUCUACCAAGGAAGACAUGGAGAGUGAAUACUGGAACCUUCUCCUACCUUUGUAGGAAUAUAGGAUUAUCUUCCAGGAUGUCAAUAGCUCUGGCCAGUGGGGACCGGACUGAUGAGAAGCAGCU